rnacentral:rRNA from 1 species
GACGAACGCUGGCGGCGUGCCUAAUACAUGCAAGUAGAACGCUGAAGGAGGAGCUUGCUUCUCUGGAUGAGUUGCGAACGGGUGAGUAACGCGUAGGUAACCUGCCUUGUAGCGGGGGAUAACUAUUGGAAACGAUAGCUAAUACCGCAUAAUAGCAGUUGUUGCAUGAUAACUGUUUGAAAGGUGCAAUUGCACCACUACCAGAUGGACCUGCGUUGUAUUAGCUAGUUGGUGUGGUAACGGCUCACCAAGGCGACGAUACAUAGCCGACCUGAGAGGGUGAUCGGCCACACUGGGACUGAGACACGGCCCAGACUCCUACGGGAGGCAGCAGGAGGGAAUCGUCGGCAAUGGACGGAAGUCUGACCGAGCAACGCCGCGUGAGUGAAGAAGGUUGUCGGAUCGUAAAGCUCUGUUGUAAGAGAAGAACGAGUGUGAGAGUGGAAAGUUCACACUGUGACGGUAUCUUACCAGAAAGGGACGGCUAACUACGUG